GGAAACAGUUACAGGUGCCUCAAUCCUCUGAGCUUACUCUGUAUUGCGUCCUGAGCUUUGUGUUCCGCAGCUACCCCAACAGCCACCCCACCUUCUCAGCUCCCUGAAUAGUGACAUGUGUCCCCCGUCACCCUUCUUGAUCUCUCAGGUCUUAGCUUAUGAGGAUUUUCUCAGAGAAGUUCUCCCUGACCCUCUAGAUUAGUUCCAUUGUUAAAGCAGACUCUCCCACAAGAACUGUGUUUCUUUCUUUGAGAGCAGUGAUCUUGGAGAGUAUUUCAUUUAUGCCAUUCAUUUCAUUUAUACUGUCUACCUCUAGACAGUAAACUCUAUGAACAGAAAGAAAGCAAGACUCUUUGAUCAUCACUGAUUUCCCGGAGUCCAGCAGUGUGACCGGAGGCAGUGCUGAGCAAAUAUUUGCUAAGUAGAUGAAUGAAACAUUUGAUGCUGCUGAUAAGGACUCCCUGCUUCCCUUAGCCAUUAAUACCUGUGCCACUUUUCUUCCCUCUCACGUACUGUGAACAAAUUUGAUUCAAAGACAUUGUAACUGGGGAAGGACAGCGUGACUUACUAUUAAGUCACCACUACCUUGCGACUAUCUUGUGAAGGCAUUUGGGCAUAACCCAAGCUGCUGCAGUUGCUUUUGGAAGCCCGGGGCAAGGAAGAGCGGAAGGUUGCUUCUGGGCAUGCGCGGCACAGGCGUACAGAGAGAGAAACCCACCCGUGCCUGCUCGCUUCUAUGUCCUUGGUGGAAACUCAUUCCGAAUUUAAAGAAAGCUGUGGGUGCUCCAGUUAGCUACAUUAUUCCCAAGUUUAAGUUCAGACAUAAUUCUUACUAGAUUGUCCUGACACCAAAACCCUGGGCGAAGGAACGCCUGCGCGCGUGAGCUUGCGUGUCUAGUUGGCUCAAGAAUUCCACUGAAGUGGAGGCUCCGCCAUUUGAACUUCCCUCUACCCACAGACACUCAGCACCCACAAAGAUGUAUGAGAACUGUCCAGACCAAGAGUGGGAGUUAGGGAACCUCUGGGCUGUAUGAAGUUUCUGCUCUGUGCAGCUCUGAGUUACAGAGGUGCGGAAGAGGCUGAAAAGAUAGAAGAACCAAAUGAAGGGCUUCUACUCUCUCAUUCAGUAAAGACUGACAACCAGACCAUCAUGACUUGCUUUAGAAAGACAACGCAAGGGACCUUGUCCAGGAGAACAGGGAGCACUGUGUUCUGGUUUGGGGGCACAUUGGGAUGAAGAAAUCUCCACAAGUCGUUUCAGGGUCAAGUGGCCUUUUUGGCUUUCCUCCAUGCAACCUGCCCAUGUUAGAUUGUAACAUUCAAUGAAAUAGAGAGAGAAAGGAUUCCCUUAUUAAAGACUAUAAAGUAGUUUCAGAAUAAUGACUAUGUUUCCUAGUCUCCCUAGAUGUGCACAGGUGACUAAUUCUGGCUAAUGGAAUAUGAUUGGAAAUGGCAUGUGCAAUUUCUGGGAAAUGUCUCUAAAGUGCAAGGCACAUCCUUCUUUACUCCUUGUUGGAGUGGCACAAGAUGAAGAAGCUGGCCAAAGUGGAGGAGCAUGGCAGCCCAGCUCUGCAUCCUGCCUAGUCGGAGGAAACAGACCUUUAUUUUUACCUAUGCCACUGUUAUUUUGUUUUCUGAUGUUUGCCUCUGAACCUUAAGCGAGAUGCUUAAGCAAGAUGGUCAGUCAAGGCCAAAUCCCCAGGAGCUUUCGUAAGCUAUCCUAGUACCCAGGAUUUGGCUUUGCAGGUGGUGGUACUCCAUGAGAGUGAUUUAAAAGACACAGUGACAUGGCCAUCCACGUACUUAAGAUUUCCCCGGCUAUAGGUACAGACUGGAUCUAGGGGAGGAGAGAGGCAAGGGAAUCUAAAAGAAGCAGUCAUUUCUUGCUUGGGCUGUUCAGGAGGACACUGAAAAGGAGGAAAGAGUACCUCCAAGGAAGUGCUACCAUCAGCUCCUGCCUGCACAAGAGAGAGGUGGUCAGCACCCAGAGGGGGAGAUGGGCAGCCUCUGCAGCUAACCAUUGUCAAUGCCGUGUGUCUGGAGUGUUUUCUGCAGAACCAGUUGUUCCUUCCCCUCUGGAUUUCUACACCCGAUCUUAAACUUUAAACAAACAAAUCCUUCUCCACAGAGCUUUCUGAAACACUGUUGCUGUGACAGAGAAGAAAACAUGACGACAAUCACGGUGCCUGGAUGAAAAUCUCUUAGUUUUGACAGAUUGCAGGCUCCGGGAAGGCAAGAACCAAUUCUUAGACAUCUUUCUAUCCCCAUUCUAUUUUUAUUGGCUAAAUACCUACUGUCUGAAUUAAUACAUGAGUGGAGAUAUUUGGGGAUAUUCUGCAGGAAAGAAAUGUAGGAAACCAGUGCACUGCUUACAAACGCUAUUUCAGCUGAAGAAAUGGACUGCAAACUCACAGAAUGUACAGUGGAGGCCCUUUUAACAAAACUCCACCUAGCCCAGGCCCCAGCUUCACGGACACCAUUGCUCUCUCUGUCAACACAGCCAGGCUGCUCACGGCAGCCCAAAGAAUCCUCACACUCUGAAGCUAACUCUAGAACUCUCCCAGACUUUUCCUUAUAUCUAUUUAUUUUAACCAAACUUGGAAUUACAAUGAUGUCAUUUCAUUAAAUAUUCCAGAACACCAUAGGCUGAGGGCAGAAGAGUCAUUUCUCUAAAAUCUCUUUUAAAAGGAGUUGUUCCUCUUUGCAUUUAGAAAGUUUUGUCAAGAUUGAAUAGACAGGGAUGGUAAAAAUGGCGGCCAAAGGAGUUGUGAGGGAGACAAGUGUAAGUAAGGAGAAGAGUCAUGACAACUUCGAAGGGUCUGCCUUCAGAUUGUUUUGCAUGUCCAAAUCUAAAGAAAACGGAAGCUUGAAUUUAUAGAUACAUAGUUGGAAUGUGGCUCAUGCAAGAAAGACGACUUAGAACUCCAACCAAUAGUUUCACUUUCAAAAAAAAAAAAAAAGGCCUUGGUCCUUCAUGAAAAUGUUAGUGAACGAAUAUACGUGUACAUGUUUUAAGUUAAAACUAAAAGUUUGAGGAAAGUAUUUUUAAGAUUUUAUUUAUUUAUUUGAGAGAGAGAGCCUAGAGGGUGAGGGAGAGGGCUGACUUGUUGGACAAGUGACCUCAGAGACCCCUCACUCCCUUGGCUCAGGGAGGGAGAAAGAGGUGACCGUCCUGAACAGUUGCAGAGGUGCUAAAGGAAUGAGAAGCUUGAAGUUGGGGUGUGGAGGACACAGGUGCACCGCCUUCCUGACCGAAGGCUGUGGAAGAGACCACAGGUGUCGGCAACCAUUGCAGCACAGGGGACAUGAGGCACGUGUGCCUGUUUCUCAGCGGACACCAAUGAUGAGGAGGGAUAAGCUGUAGCUAAAAGACGCAAGGCUGGGCUGGGAGGAGACAGCGUUGACCCAGACGCCAGGUGAGCCUCUUGGCUGGGUGAAAGACUGUUUCGUUUGACCAAAUAUCCACUUCAAAGAGCAAACCUCACGGAGCGACUGUUCCCUCCUCAACUCCCGUAAUACACGUUCUCGGUCUCGACUGGAGUUGGGGGUCUCACGAGAGUUACCUCCAAAUUUAAGGCCACCUCAUGUUCUAAAAUAGCUGCUGGAGUACCAGUGCUUAGCCACAAGACCAGAGGAAGAGAGACACAGCAGGAG